rnacentral:rRNA from 1 species
GAUGAACGCUAGCGGCAGGCUUAACACAUGCAAGUCGAGGGGCAGCGGGGAGUAGCAAUACUCUGCCGGCGACCGGCGGAAGGGUGAGUAACGCGUGGGGAACCUGCCGUAUGCAGGGGGACAACAGUUGGAAACGGCUGCUAAUACCGCAUAAGCGCACGAUAUCGCAUGAUAAAGUGUGAAAAGAUUUAUCGGCAUACGAUGGCCCCGCGUCUGAUUAGCUAGUUGGUGAGGUAACGGCUCACCAAGGCGACGAUCAGUAGCCGACCUGAGAGGGUGACCGGCCACAUUGGGACUGAGACACGGCCCAAACUCC